GGGCGGUUAGCUCAGCGGUUAGAGCACGUGGCUUACAUCCACGGGGCCGGGGGUUCAAAUCCUCCACCGCCCA
rnacentral:tRNA from 7 species